rnacentral:rRNA from 1 species
CACUCAUAAUAAUGCUAGGCCAACAGUAUAUGACGAUGAGUAUGGAUCCGCCCCAAGAG